UAGGUAGCGCCUCGUGAAUUCAUCUCCGGGGGUAGAGCACUGUUUCGGCUAGGGGGCCAUCCCGGCUUACCAACCCGAUGCAAACUGCGAAUACCGGAGAAUGUUAUCACGGGAGACACACGGCGGGUGCUAACGUCCGUCGUGAAGAGGGAAACAACCCAGACCGCCAGCUAAGGUCCCAAAGUCAUGGUUAAGUGGGAAACGAUGUGGGAAGGCCCAGACAGCCAGGAUGUUGGCUUAGAAGCAGCCAUCAUUUAAAGAAAGCGUAAUAGCUCACUGGUCGAGUCGGCCUGCGCGGAAGAUGUAACGGGGCUAAACCAUGCACCGAAGCUGCGGCAGCGACACUGUGUGUUGUUGGGUA
rnacentral:rRNA from 1 species